UACGUAGGGGGCAAGCGUUGUCCGGAAUCAUUGGGCGUAAAGAGCGCGUAGGCGGCCCUGUAAGUCCGCUGUGAAAGUCAAGGGCUCAACCCUUGAAUGCCGGUGGAUACUGCAGGGCUAGAGUCCGGAAGAGGCAAGUGGAAUUCCCGGUGUAGCGGUGAAAUGCGCAGAUAUCGGGAGGAACACCGGUGGCGAAGGCGGUUCUCUGGGCCUUACCUGACGCUGAGGAGCGAAAGCGUGGGGAGCGAACAGG
rnacentral:rRNA from 1 species